CUCGCCUGCGUGAAGUUGGAAUUGCUAGUAAUCGCGGAUCAGCAUGCCGCGGUGAAUACGUUCCCGGGCCUUGUACACACCGCCCGUCACACCAUGGGAGUUUGUAACACCCGAAGUCAGUAUCCUAACCGCGAAGGGGGGAGCUGCCGAAGGUGGGAUAAGCGACUGGGGUGAAGUCGUAACAAGGUACC
rnacentral:rRNA from 1 species